rnacentral:tRNA from 1 species
AUGGUUAAACCCCUUCCCCUACUA